AGUGGAUGGGGAGCAACCUAGUUGUGCGUGUGUAAAGGUAGUGCCAAGAAAAGCGAUGAUCAUGUUGAAAAUCAAUUCCCGGUACCCGAAACCGACACAGGUGGGCAAGUAGAGAAUACUAAGGGGCGCGAGGUAACUCUCUCCAAGGAACUCGGCAAAAUGACCCCGUAACUUAGGGAGAAGGGGUGCCACCGAGAGGUGGUCGCAGUGAAGAGGCCCAGGCGACUGUUAGCAAAAACAUAGGUCUCUGCAAACUCGAAAGAGGAGGUAUAGGGGCUGACGCCUGCCCAGUGCCGGAAGGUUAAAGAAGUUGGUCAGUCUUAGGAUGAAGCUAGCGACUGAAGCCCCGGUGAACGGCGGCCGUAACUAUAACGGUCCUAAGGUAGCGAAAUUCCUUGUCGGGUAAGUUCCGACCCGCACGAAAGGCGUAACGAUCUGGGCGCUGUCUCGGAGAGAGGCUCGGCGAAAUAGGAUUGUCUGUGAAGAUACGGACUACCUGCAUUUGGACAGAAAGACCCUAUGAAGCUUUACUAUAGCUUGGAAUUGUGUUCGGGCUUCCUGUGCGCAGGAUAGGUGGGAGGCGUAGAAGGUAUUCUUGUGGGGAUACUGGAGCCAACGGUGAGAUACCACUCUCAGGAGGCUAGAAUUCUAACUUAAUUAAGGACAGUUUCAGGUGGGUAGUUUGACUGGGGCGGUCGCCUCCAAAAAGGUAACGGAGGCGUACAAAGGUUCCCUCAGACUGGUUGGAAAUCAGUCGAAGAGUGCAAAGGCAGAAGGGAGCUUGACUGCGAGAAGUACAGUUCGAGCAGGGUGGAAACACGGUCUUAGUGAUCCGACGGUGCUGUGUGGAAGGGCCGUCGCUCAACGGAUAAAAGUUACUCUAAGGAUAACAGGCUGAUCUCCCCCAAGAGUUCACAUCGACGGGGAGGUUUGGCACCUCGAUGUCGGCUCAUCGCAACCUGGGGCGGAAGUACGUCCCAAGGGUUGGGCUUUUCGCCCAUUAAAGCGGUACGUGAGCUGGGUUCAGAACGUCGUGAGACAGUUCGGUCCAUAUCCGAUGUAGGCGUGAGAAUAUUGGGAGGAGCCUUCCUUAGUACGAGAGGACCGGGAAGGACGCACCGCUGGUGUACCUGUUAUGAUGCCAAUUGUAAACGCAGGGUAGCCAAGUGCGGAGAGGAUAACCGCUGAAAGCAUCUAAGUGGGAAGCCCACCUCAAGAUGAGUAUUCUGGUGUAAGGUCACGGGAAGACGACCCGUAAAUAGGCACGAGGUGGAAGUGCAGAGAUGUAUGAAGCCGAAGUGUACUAAUAGACCGUCGGCUUGACCC
rnacentral:rRNA from 1 species